UACAGAGGGGGCAAGCGUUAUUCGGAAUUAUUGGGCGUAAAGGGCGCGUAGGCGGCCGUGCAAGUGGAAGGUGAAAUCCCUCGGCUCAACCGAGGAACUGCCUUUCAAACUGCAUGGCUUGAGUCCGGGAGAGGUGAGUGGAAUUCCCAGUGUAGCGGUGAAAUGCGUAGAUAUUGGGAGGAACACCAGUGGCGAAGGCGGCUCACUGGACCGGAACUGACGCUGAGGCGCGAAAGCGUGGGGAGCGAACAGG
rnacentral:rRNA from 1 species